rnacentral:rRNA from 1 species
CACGGGGGGGGCAAGCGUUGUUCGGAAUUACUGGGCGUAAAGGGCUCGUAGGCGGCCAACUAAGUCAGACGUGAAAUCCCUCGGCUUAACCGGGGAACUGCGUCUGAUACUGGAUGGCUAGAGGUUGGGAGAGGGAUGCGGAAUUCCAGGUGUAGCGGUGAAAUGCGUAGAUAUCUGGAGGAACACCGGUGGCGAAGGCGGCAUCCUGGACCAAUUCUGACGCUGAGGAGCGAAAGCCAGGGGAGUAAACGGG